CGCGGGAUGGAGCAGAUGGUAGCUCGUCGGGCUCAUAACCCGAAGGUCGCAGGUUCGAGUCCUGCUCCCGCUACUA
rnacentral:tRNA from 1 species